rnacentral:lncRNA from 1 species
GCUUUAGCCUUAGGUGGGGGAGUUUUCCAUUUCCCUUUCAGCUUAUAUUAAAUUACUUUCCUUUCUUGUCAUAGGCAUAAUCCUUUGAUGGGAAAACCUUGACGGCCUUUCAGAAGAGGAAGAAAGCCCUCCUCUGCAGAGUCACCAGGGACUGGCUAUUACUAAUUGAUUCUACAUGGAGAACACACAGUGGUGACAGCCAUCAGUCUGAAACAAGCUUGCAGACUCCCAGGAAUUGUUUACCUUUCCACAGGGAAUGGAUGCAGGCCUCUGUCCCUUGUGCCCUGGCCUAUAUGGAAGGAUGAUCUGGUGAGCACAGCCACAAUGAACCUAUAGAGACUCUGAGCCCCAACCCAGCCACACACUGCCUCUUCCCAAUGGGCUGGUAUGGCUUCCACUGAUCUCAGCUACUGAGAGUUCUUGUUCUCUUUUAGCAGCAACAAAAAAAUAAAUGUAGAAAGCAUUCACA